rnacentral:lncRNA from 1 species
AAAAUCUCCGUCUCGUUAGCACAUGAUGUAAGCCAGCCGGACUUCUCGUCAUGAACGAGGGGAAAAAAUAUAUUUCCGUUCGUUCAAACAUGUCAAACGUUGUAUAGCAUAAAUCAUUAGGGCCUUUUUUAACCAGAACAUGAAUAGUAUUCAAGGUGGACGAAUGCAUACUCUUUUAUAACGUAUUGGAACGAGGGUACCCAACAUGAACUCGCGCGCCAGGUGUCUAAUGGGCCAUCAUCGUUCCAUGGCUCUUGUUCGGUCAGAUCUCCCUCCAGAAGACUCAAAACACUUUGUAAAGGCUGGUGACAUCUAGUGGAAGCAAUAGGAAGUGCCAAAAUAUUCCUCAGCCCCUGUGUUUUUCAAUGGGAUAGGUUUAAAGGUAAUACAACACAUCAGGA